rnacentral:rRNA from 2 species
GGUCAAGCUACAAAGGGCGCAUGGUGAAUGCCUUGGCAUCAGGAGCCGAUGAAGGACGUGAUAAGCUGCGAUAAGCUUCGGGUAGGCGCACAUAGCCUGAGAUCCGAAGAUCUCCGAAUGAGGAAACUCACAUGGGAAACCCCAUGUAUCAUUAAGUGAAUACAUAGCUUAAUGAAGGUAACCCAGGGAACUGAAACAUCUAAGUACCUGGAGGAAGAGAAAGAAAAAUCGAUUUUCUUAGUAGCGGCGAGCGAAAGGGAAAGAGCCCAAACCGGAAACUUGUUUCCGGGGUUGUGGACAUAACAUAAAAGUGGAGGCUAUUGUAACUGAAGAGAACUGGAAAGUUCCACCGUAGAAGGUAAUAGUCCUGUAAGUGAAACGAGAAGACCACGAGUUAUGAUCCAGAGUACCACGAGACACGUGAAACCUUGUGGGAAGCAGGGAGGACCACCUCCCAAGGCUAAAUACUACCUGAUGACCGAUAGUGAAGCAGUACCGUGAGGGAAAGGUGAAAAGAACCCCGGGAGGGGAGUGAAAUAGAACCUGAAACCGUGUGCCUACAACCGCUCAGAGCCCCUUAUGAGGGUGAUGAGGUGCUUUUUGUAGAACGAGCCAACGAGUUACGGUAUGUAGCAAGGUUAAGUACUUAAGGUACGGAGCCGAAGGGAAACCGAGUCUGAAUAGGGCGACUAGUUGCAUGCCGUAGACCCGAAACCGGGUGACCUAUCCAUGGCCAGGUUGAAGCGAGGGUAAAACCUCGUGGAGGACCGAACCACGUUGCUGUUGAAAAAGCAUGGGAUGAGCUGUGGAUAGCGGAGAAAUUCCAAUCGAACCCGGAGAUAGCUGGUUCUCUCCGAAAUAGCUUUAGGGCUAGCGUCGAGUAUGAGUAGUGGAGGUAGAGCACUGAAUGGGCUAGGGGGCAUAGCGCUUACCGAACCUUAUCAAACUCCGAAUGCCACAUACUUUGAGCUCGGCAGUCAGACUACGAAUGAUAAGAUCCGUGGUCAAAAGGGAAACAGCCCAGAUCGUCAGCUAAGGUCCCAAAGUGUAAGUUAAGUGGGAAAGGAUGUGAGAUUUCUAAGACAACUAGGAUGUUGGCUUAGAAGCAGCCAUUCAUUAAAAGAGUGCGUAAUAGCUCACUAGUCGAGAGAUCUUGCGCCGAAAAUGUAACGGGGCUAAACUUACCACCGAAGCUACGGGCUUGAACUUAGUUCAAGCGGUAGGAGAGCGUCGUAACCGGGCUGAAGUCGUACCGUAAGGAGCGGUGGACUGGUUACGAGUGAGAAUGUUGGCAUCAGUAGCGAGAUGUGGGUGAGAAUCCCACAGGCCGAAAACCUAAGGUUUCCUCAGGAAGGUUCGUCCGCUGAGGGUUAGUCGGGACCUAAGCCGAGGCCGAAAGGCGUAGGUGAUGGACAACUGGUUGAUAUUCCAGUACCACUACCAUCGUUAUUAUCGAUGGCGUGACGCAGGAGGAUAGUGUGUGCUAGCUAUUGGAUGCUAGUCUAAGCGUUUAGGCAGUGAGAGUAGGCAAAUCCGCUCUCAUAAUGCUGAGGCGUGAUGGGGAAGGUUCUACGGAACCGAAGUACAUGAUUCCACGCUGCCAAGAAAAGCGUCUAGAGAGAGAAGUAGUGCCCGUACCGCAAACCGACACAGGUAGGUGAGGAGAGAAUCCUAAGGCCGGCGGAAGAAUUACAGUUAAGGAACUCGGCAAAUUGACCCCGUAAGUUCGCGAGAAGGGGUGCCUACGAGAGUAGGCCGCAGAGAAUAGGCCCAAGCAACUGUUUAGCAAAAACACAGGUCUCUGCUAAAGCGUAAGCUGAUGUAUAGGGGCUGACGCCUGCCCGGUGCUGGAAGGUUAAGGGGAACACUUAGCGCAAGCGAAGGUGUGAACUUAAGCCCCAGUAAACGGCGGCCGUAACUAUAACGGUCCUAAGGUAGCGAAAUUCCUUGUCAGGUAAGUUCUGACCCGCACGAAUGGCGUAAUGACUUGGGCACUGUCUCAACUGUAAAUCCGGCGAAGUUGUAGUGCGAGUGAAGAUGCUCGCUACCCGCGAUUGGACGGAAAGACCCCGUAGAGCUUUACUGUAGCUUAGCAUUGAGUUUUGGUAUUGUCUGUACAGGAUAGGUGGGAGACUAGGAAACCAGGGCGUCAGCCUUGGUGGAGUCAACCUUGGGAUACCACCCUGACAGUACUGAAAUUCUAACUGGCGGCCAUGAAUCUGGUCACAGGACAUUGUUAGGUGGGCAGUUUGACUGGGGCGGUCGCCUCCUAAAAAGUAACGGAGGCGCCCAAAGGUUCCCUCAGAACGGUCGGAAAUCGUUCGAAGAGUGCAAAGGCAGAAGGGAGCCUGACUGCGACACCCACAAGUGGAGCAGGGACGAAAGUCGGGCUUAGUGAUCCGGUGGUACCUCGUGGGAGGGCCAUCGCUCAACGGAUAAAAGCUACCUCGGGGAUAACAGGCUGAUCUCCCCCAAGAGUCCACAUCGACGGGGAGGUUUGGCACCUCGAUGUCGGCUCGUCGCAUCCUGGGGCUGAAGUAGGUCCCAAGGGUUGGGCUGUUCGCCCAUUAAAGCGGCACGCGAGCUGGGUUCAGAACGUCGUGAGACAGUUCGGUCCCUAUCCGUCGCGGGCGUAGGAAAUUUGAGAGGAGCUGUCCUUAGUACGAGAGGACCGGGAUGGACUGACCUCUGGUGUACCAGUUGUUCCGCCAGGAGCACAGCUGGGUAGCUAAGUCGGGAAUGGAUAAACGCUGAAAGCAUCUAAGCGUGAAGCCAACCUCAAGAUGAGAUUUCCCAUAGCGUAAGCUAGUAAGAUCCCUUGAAGAACACAAGGUUGAUAGGUCGGGGGUGUAAGCAUGGUAACAUGUUCAGCUGACCGAUACUAAUAGAUCGAGGGCUUGACCAA